AGCAGCCGCGGUAAUUUCAGCUCCAAUAGCGUAUAUUAAAGUUGUUGCAGUUAAAAAGCUCGUAGUUGAAUUUCGAGACCGGUUUACUGGUCGUGCUUUUGUACGUACUGGUAUUAUUGGUUUCUCCUUUCUGACGAAUCAUAAUGCCAUUAAUUUGGUGUUUUGGGGAAUCAGGACUGUUACUUUGAAAAAAUUGAGUGUUUAAAGCAGGCUCACGCUUGAAUACAUUAGCAUGGAAUAACGAAAUAGGACGUUUGAUCUUAUUUUGUUGGUUUCUAGGAUCGACGUAAUGAUUAAUAGGGAUAGUUGGGGGCACUAGUAUUCAAUUGUCAGAGGUGAAAUUCUUGGAUUUAUUGAAGACUAACUAC
rnacentral:rRNA from 1 species